AUUGAACGCUGGCGGCAGGCCUAACACAUGCAAGUCGAGCGGAUGAAGGGAGCUUGCUCCUGGAUUCAGCGGCGGACGGGUGAGUAAUGCCUAGGAAUCUGCCUGGUAGUGGGGGAUAACGUCCGGAAACGGGCGCUAAUACCGCAUACGUCCUGAGGGAGAAAGUGGGGGAUCUUCGGACCUCACGCUAUCAGAUGAGCCUAGGUCGGAUUAGCUAGUUGGUGGGGUAAAGGCCUACCAAGGCGACGAUCCGUAACUGGUCUGAGAGGAUGAUCAGUCACACUGGAACUGAGACACGGUCCAGACUCCUAAGGGAGGCAGCAGUGGGGAAUAUUGGACAAUGGGCGAAAGCCUGAUCCAGCCAUGCCGCGUGUGUGAAGAAGGUCUUCGGAUUUUAAAGCACUUUAAGUUGGGAGGAAGGGCAGUAAGUUAAUACCUUGCUGUUUUGACGUUACCAACAGAAUAAGCACCGGCUAACUUCGUG
rnacentral:rRNA from 1 species